rnacentral:rRNA from 1 species
UGAGUAACCUGCCCUUAACUCUGGGAUAAGCCUGGGAAACUGGGUCUAAUACCGGAUAUGACUCCUCAUCGCAUGGUGGGGGGUGGAAAGCUUUAUUGUGGUUUUGGAUGGACUCGCGGCCUAUCAGCUUGUUGGUGNGGGUAAUGGCCCACCAAGGCGACGACGGGUAGCCGGCCUGAGAGGGUGACCGGCCACACUGGGACUGAGACACGGCCCAGACUCCUACGGGAGGCAG